CAAAGGAGCAAUCCGCUGAAAGAUGGGCUCGCGUCCGAUUAGGUAGUUGGUGAGGUAACGGCCCACCAAGCCGACGAUCGGUAGCCGGACUGAGAGGUUGGACGGCCACAUUGGGACUGAGACACGGCCCAGACUCCUACGGGAGGCAGCAGUAAGGGAUAUUGGUCAAUGGGGGAAACCCUGAACCAGCAACGCCGCGUGAGGGAAGACGGUUUUCGGAUUGUAAACCUCUGUCCUCUGUGAAGAUGAUGACGGUAGCAGAGGAGGAAGCUCCGGCUAACUACGUGCCAGCAGCCGCGGUAAUACGUAGGGAGCGAGCGUUGUCCGGAUUUACUGGGUGUAAAGGGUGCGUAGGCGGCUGUGCAAGUCAGUAGUGAAAUCCAUGGGCUUAACCCAUGAACUGCUAUUGAAACUGCACAGCUUGAGUGAAGUAGAGGUAGGCGGAAUUCCCGGUGUAGCGGUGAAAUGCGUAGAGAUCGGGAGGAACACCAGUGGCGAGGGCGGCCUACUGGGCUUUAACUGACGCUGAGGCACGAAAGCGUGGGUAGCAAACAGGAUUAGAUACCCUGGUAGUCCACGCUGUAAACGAUGAUUACUAGGUGUGGGGGGACUGAACCCUUCC
rnacentral:rRNA from 1 species